UACGGGGGGGGCAAGCGUUGUUCGGAAUUACUGGGCGUAAAGCGCGCGUAGGCGGCUCGGAAAGUCGGUCGUGAAAUGCCGGGGCUCAACCCCGGGACUGCGUCCGAUACUCCCGAGCUGGAGGCAGGUAGGGGAGAUCGGAAUUCCUGGUGUAGCGGUGAAAUGCGCAGAUAUCAGGAGGAACACCGGUGGCGAAGGCGGAUCUCUGGGCCUUGCCUGACGCUGAGGCGCGAAAGCUAGGGGAGCGAACAGG
rnacentral:rRNA from 1 species